rnacentral:rRNA from 1 species
GGCGGCGUGGCUAAAGCAUGCAAGUCGAGCGAACCCGCAAGGGUGAGCGGCGGACGGGUUAGUAAUACGAUCGAACGUGCCCCGAGGCGGGGGAUAGGCAUGGGAAACUGUGCGUAAUACCCCAUAAUCUCUCCGGAGCAAAGGUUUACCACCUUGGGAUCGGCGAUCGUCCUAUCAGCUAGUUGGCGGGGUAACGGCCUACCAAGGCGAUGAUCGGUAGCUGGCCUGAGAGGACGGCCAGCCACAGGGGGACUGAGACACGGCCCCCACUCCUACGGGAGGCAGCAGCAAGGAGUUUUCCGCAAUGGGCGAAAGCCUGACGGAGCAACGCCGCGUGGGGGAUGACACCUUUCGGGGCGUAAACCCCUUUUCUUGGGGACGAAGCAGUGACGGUACCCGAGGAAGAAGGCCCGGCUAACUACGUGCCAGCAGCCGCGGUAAUACGUAGGGGCCGAGCGUUGUCCGGAGUUACUGGGCGUAAAGCGCGCGCAGGCGGCUCGUCAAGCCUGACGUGAAAGCCCCCGGCUCAACCGGGGAGGGUCGUCGGGGACUGGCGGGCUUGAGGUCGGCAGGGGUUGGUGGAAUUCCCGGUGUAGUGGUGAAAUGCGUAGAGAUCGGGAGGAACACCCGUGGCGAAGGCGGCCAACUGGGCCGGACCUGACGCUGAGGCGCGAAGGCGU